rnacentral:misc_RNA from 1 species
CCGAGCCCAGGGGAGGCAGAGCAAAAAUUCUUUCGGAAGAGCUGUCAGUUGAGCGUUAGCAACAAAAACAGUUAAACUUUCAACACGGUCUAUUGGUUCCGGCACGAGAAGACGCACGAAAUCGAUAAGUAAUGUGAAUGCAGAAUUCCGUGAAUCACGAUCUUUGAACGCACAUUGCGCCCCCUGGCAUUCCGGGGGGCAUGCCUGUUCGAGCGUCAUUUCAGCCCCUCAAGCCCGGCUUGUGUGAUGGCGACCGUCCGGCACCCCCGUCUUUGGGGGUGCGGGACGCGCCCGAAAAGCAGUGGCCAGGCCGCGAUCCGGCUUCCUAGCGAUGGGCACAACCAGCGCCUCCGGACCGGCCGCCCUGGCCUCAAAUCUGUUUUU